AAAAAUUUAAAUAGCGUAUUAUAAUAUAUUUUAAAUUGGGUAAAGCGUGCAAAAUUUGUAAAUGGUAUUGGCGGUUUUUAUAACGUACGAAAGGAAAUUUUUAUUAAAACUAACGGUAAAAAAUUAGCGUUUUACCAUUUCCACAUUAUAUUAAUUUUAUUAUAGGAAAUAAUGGUUAAUCGGUCGAGCAAUUCCAAUUUUUUGCGGAUUAUAAAAAUUUAUUAGUUUUUUAAAAAUAUUAUUUGGGUGUAAUAAAUAUAAUGGAUGGCGUGGCAAAUUAUUUGGGGAUGGAUAUUAAACGUGAUUUUAUUAAAAAUUUCCGAUCGGCAACGAUAAAAUGGAAUAGCGACCUGGUUUUGCAAUUUCCGGCACGGGAAAUCGACCAAUUAAAAUAAAACGAGGAAUAUAUUCGAUUAAAAAAAUAUAUUUUUACAUUUAAUAUUUUUAUCGACGGCGCCCUUUUUAAAAAAAAAAAUACGAACAAUAUAUAGCCGUUCGCAAACAGGCGUACGAAAAUCGUCGAAAAUUCGUAAAACAAAAGUUUUAAAAAUACCGGCAAUAUAUAAUUAAUUAAAAAAACGAUUGGUACCGGGACUAUUUUUUUCGCAUAAUAUAUAUAGUACCUAAACGCCAAAAAUUAUUUAAAAAUUUGGGUCGAAAAAAAAUAUUUCGAAAUUUAACAGGCAUUUUAACGUUGGAAGAUUUUAUUGUUUUUCGAAUAGGGGAUUGGCGGGUCGCAUACCAAUUUCAACUAAAACCUAAAAACGGCAUAUACCCCGUAAAAUUCUGCAAUAAAAUAAUUAAAAGGUAAUUGUAAAAUAUAACAUGCCAAUAAUAUACGUUAAUUACCCCAAAAUACGUUGUUAAUUAUUUAUAUUGGUUUUUAACCUCCACGUUUUGCAAAAAUGGUUGCAUAUAUAUCGAUAUUUUGAAAAACGUUUCAAAGCCGAUUACAAAUUCGCCAAAUUUUGUUUCCUAUAUAAUUAUUGGGUUAUAAAUAAGUAGAAAUGGGAAUAUUAUUGCCAAAAAUAUAUUAACGACGGGGAUAUAUUAUUUCGAUAUAAUCCCGUUAUUUUCCAGUACGUUUAUAUAUAUGCUGGAUAUUAUCCCAUUUAUUUAGGCCGGACAAAUAUCCUUGCGAACAAAUGGAUAAAAAUAUAUAUAAAUUUAAAAAUUUGGCGAUUAUAUAUUUCGAAAUACGUUAUUAAUUAUAUAAUAAUUAGGUUUUAUUUUAACAAUUUUAAAUGCCUAUAUCCAAAUUAUUUUACUCCAAUGGAUUUAAAAAAAAGCCUUUGGUAUUAUUUCCAAAAUAUCCACAGCGUCGAAAAUACGUUACCAAAAAAACGUAUUUUUAAUUUCGAAAAAAACAACCACGGCCGAUUUGGAUCGAUCCGUUUUGCCAAAAAACAAAAAAUAAUAUUAGGUCCCAAUCCGACAAUUAUUGCGACGUUAAUAUCCGAACAAAUAAUUGCUAUUAUAUUUGUUAACCUAUAUAUUUGCAAUCCUAAACGUUUCAAUUUUAAUAUAAUUUAAUAGGGCGCUAUUUGCGUUUAUUACGUCGCCUAUUUUUAAUAUUAAUAAAUUAAUUUCGUCCAACCAGGACAAAUAAUGUUCGACCUUAUCGACGGAUCCCAAUUCCCUAAAAGAUUUUUGCAUUAUUAAAAAUCCUAAUAAUUUAUUGCGAUACGUUUUGUUUUUGGAUUUAGGUUUUCCCGGGGUAUUACAACCUAACCCAUUUUAUAUUCCAAGUUUUAAAAGGAGAUUUAUAAAAUUAAUAAAUCCUGCGUUUAUUAAAUUACCCGUUGCAAUAUUAAAAUGUAAUUUUUUAGGGGACGUUAACCCCCCGAAUAAAAAUAAUACCGAUUUAAUAGGGUUUGCGUUACAAAAUAUAUUGGUUAAUACCAAAUAUUUUCCGAAUUUGCUAAAAAAUAAACCAAUUGCGUUUAAUGCAAAAAAUAAUAUAUGGGAGGCCGAGAAAUUUUUCGCGAAAUGGGGUUUAAAAAAAAAACUUUAUUAUUUUGUUAAAUGGAAGGGGUUCCCAUAUAAAAAUAAUACGUGGGAACCAAAAAAUAAUAUUAGCGAAAAUUUUAUUAAAAGUUUCGAAUCGAAUUUUGAGGGAAAUUAUACAGGAAUGCGAUUAUUUAAUAAAAAAAAAUGGGCUGGAAACGUUAAAUAUUUGGUAAAAUGGAAAAAUCGACCAAAAAGCGAAAAGUUAUGGGAAAAGGCCAAAACGUUAAAUAGCGCACGGGUUCGGGAAUACGAAAUAAAAAUAUAAAAUUUAUAAAUAAUUAACAAACGUUAAAAUAAAUUAAAUAGCCAAUUACGGUUUUUUGGCAGAUUAAUCCUGGAAUUUUAUACGCACCAAAUUCCGUAAAAAUGGUGCCAAUAAAUCGAAAAAACGAAUAACCAAAAUUAAUGCACGGCGGUAUAUAUUUACGGUACCGCAAUAAGGUGUAAAAAUAUAUAUAUUAAUACGUGUUUUAAAUUAAAUGCAAAACGCAUCGGAAAUAAAAUUGGUUAAAAAACAAAACGUUUUUUACUAAAUUACGUAUAAAUAUAUAAAUAUUACGGCCAGGGUAAAUAUAAUAUAAAAACUAGUUUAUUGGUAUUUAUCGACGAAAAUUUUGUUCCGAAGAAAGGAAAAAAAACAAACCAAAUUGCUAAAUUUUACGCGACGCGGAUAAAAGGUAACCCGGGUCGUUAAUUAAUAUAUAUCGAUUUUCCGUAUUUGCCCUAUAAAAUACCAAUCGAUACUGGUUUUUAAUUAUAUACGCAUUUGCCCUAACCGAUAACCCCUAAAUAUUUUAAUUAAUUAAUCCAAUUUAAUAAUAUGCUGGCCGGUCGUAUUAUUACAGCGAAUUAUUAUUU
rnacentral:sRNA from 1 species